rnacentral:rRNA from 1 species
CCCUUCCGUAGGGGGACCUGCGGAAGGAUCAUUAAAAAAUACAUUACACAUUGUUUUUGCGAACAAAAAAAUAAAUUUUUUUAUUCGAAUUUCUUAAUAUCAAAACUUUCAACAACGGAUCUCUUGGUUCUCGCAUCGAUGAAGAACGCAGCGAAUUGCGAUACGUAGUAUGACUUGCAGACGUGAAUCAUCGAAUCUUUGAACGCACAUUGCGCCUCGAGGCAUUCCUCGAGGCAUGCCUGUUUGAGCGUCGCAUCCCCUCUAACCCCCGGUUAGGCGUUGCUCCGAAAUAUCAACCGCGCUGUCAAACACGUUUACAGCACGACAUUUCGCCCUCAAAUCAGGUAGGACUACCCGCUGAACUUAAGCAUAUCAAAAGGCGGAGGAAAAG